GUCAAUUGGAUUAGCUUCGGAAUCUGUCCUAGGAAUUGCACUGUUUUCCUGCUCUGCUUCCCAGCUGCCAUGAACUGAGGAGCCUGGCCAUGGAUUGCAUCCCCCAAAGCUAUCAAAGACUCUGGGUCCUCUCUUUGGUGGAAUGACAUAUCCCAACCUGGCUGCCUGCAAGAUGGAAAGACCCAGUUGGAGGGUCCCUGCCCAUGCGGAACACGCUGAUCCAGCCUAUGCCCCAGCAGCAAUCCACUGGAUCAUCCCCCCCACCCCCCACUCCUCUGGCCUCUUGGCUGUACUGACAUCUGAUUCCACACUACAAAGACACAGAGGACACUGGACCACCAGACCACUGUACUGGGGUCACCACAUUGCCCAGACUGGGCCCAAGCUUGCCAUUCUCCUGCCUCAGCCUCCCAGAUUGCUGUGAUUACAGGGUCUCUGCCUGCCCUGAGCAGCCACUGCCCACUCCUCAUCCUAGAUUCCACUUCCUCUUUGGAGCCAGC
rnacentral:lncRNA from 1 species